GAUGAAGAACGUAGCGAAAUGCGAUAAGUAGUGUGAAUUGCAGAAUUCAGUGAAUCAUCGAAUCUUUGAACGCACAUUGCGCCCCUUGGUAUUCCAUGGGGCAUGCCUGUUCGAGCGUCAUUUGUACCUUCAAGCUUUGCUUGGUGUUGGGUGUUUGUCCUGAGGGACUCGCCUUAAAGUAAUUGGCAGCCAGUGUUUGGUUUUGAAGCGCAGCACAAGUCGCGAUUCAAGGCUAUACACCAGCUUCCACAAUCCUUUUUCACUUUUGACCUCGGAUCAGGUAGGGAUACCCGCUGAACUUAAGCAUAUCAAUAAGCGGAGGA
rnacentral:misc_RNA from 1 species